rnacentral:lncRNA from 1 species
UUAAUUUGGGUUUUGUGUUAGUUACUCUUGUUUCAGGGUUUUGGUUUCAAUCUGAAUUUCUGUUGGGUUUUAUGCGGUGUCUCUUCGUGUUUAUCUACUGUUCUAUUUUCAGCAGAUUUUAUUUUCAAAUCUAGGGAUACCAAUAGAUAUUGGUUUUGUGUUAGUUACUCUUGUUUUCUAGAUUUCCAGACUUAAUUUGGGUUUUGUGUUAGUUACUCUUGUUUCAGGGUUUUGGUUUCAAUCUGAAUUUCUGUUGGGUUUUAUGCGGUGUCUCUUCGUGUUUAUCUACUGUUCUAUUUUCAGCAGAUUUUAUUUUCAAAUCUAGGGAUACCAAUAGAUAUUGGUUUAAAUUCUGGAUUCCUUUUGGGUUUGAUGAAGAGUUUUUAUUUUCAUGUUAGCUACUGCUGGAUUUUCAACAAGUUUUAUAUUCAAAUCUAGGAAUACCAACAGAUCUUAGUUUAAGUUCUAGAGUUCUUUUGGGUUUUAUGCAGAUCUGAGCAUGGUUAUCCCCUGCUGUAUUUUCAGCAGAUUUCAUGUUCAAUUUUAGAUUUCUAUUUUGGGUUAAUGUGGAUUCUAUUAAGAUUCUAUUCGUGUUUAUCUCUUUCAGUAUUUUCAGAAGAUCAUAGAUUAAAAUUCUCGAUAGUCGUGGGUUUUGGUUAGUUCUUCUUCGUGCUUAUUUUCUCUAGUAUUUUAUGAUAAUCGUACAAUUAAAUUCUGAAAUUUUUCGAAGUUCUAUGCGGAUUCUGUCCAGGUUACUUCAUUCCAGAUUUCAGGAGAUCUUAGAUCUUAGUUUUGAAUUUUUACGGUUCUAGAUAGCUUUCAAAUAGACUAGCAUUUCAAGAUUUUAAGAAGAUGUAUUCUUUUAUAUUCCGAUACUACUUUUAAAGGGUGAGUCAUCGAGUGGUUUGUGAAUAUAUAAGUGAAGUGUUAAUGAGUGAGUGAUGUGAGUGUUGGCAUGAAUCUAAUUACAAGUGCAUUGUGAGUGUUGUGAGAUGAUAAAAUUAUAAGUGAAGUGUGAGUGUUAUAAUAUAGUGAAAAAGUAUAUCGAUUUACUUGAUGUUUGUAAAUUUAAUUGUUUUAUAAUGUGAUUUGACUGACCUAUACGGGAAACCAUACUGAGUCACAAUAUUGUGACUCAUCCAUAUUUUGAUUUAUGAUGUGGUAGGGUGGAAAUAGACGUGACGGGAUGCGGCGACGGAGUGGAGCAUCUCAGAACUUUCAAUUAUUAAAUUAGACUUACAUUAUAUUGUUAUAGCAAACCCUAUUUUAGUUACCUUUGAACUCCUAGCGUUAUUUGACAUUUAAAUUUAUGAGGUUAUUGGACAUAAAUUCCUUUUGUUGCCAAUAUUAGUGUUAGAUUGUUAACAUGCUUAAGCAGGAUGUUACAGUGGGUUAAGAUGAAGUCUAUACGAUGACGAUGUUUAGUAGUUGUCGUCGUCCUCGGUGAGGUCUAUAACCUCUCUUUUACGCAGAAGACAUCGCUGCUGACGACGAACCCCAUCGCCGUUAUUUGACGAACCUCCCGUCUCAAGUUUUCGGACCAUUGCUGAAAGAACGUCUUGGAGAGGAGAUCGUCCUCUAGUUGAAGAAUAUGAGGAGAAUAAUAAAGGAAUGGAUAAUAUCGGCAAACGGUUAGGUUUUUUAUAAACAUGGCAGUGGACCUGGUGGACAAAGAGGUGCACUCUAUUUAAUCUUCUAAUACCCAAAAUUUGUAUCAACGGCACCAAACACCGUUUACAAAACUUUAUUGGUCUGAAGGAUAUUUGGUCGACGUUUAGAUUUUCAGUAAGUAGAUAUUAGUGUAUUAUUGUCAUAAGUUAUGUUUUCGUAAUUUUUAGUAGCUAACAUUUUAUAUUUUGUUAUAGGUUAGGGUUAUAGGUGUUAUAAGUAUUGUCAUCAGUUAGGUUUUAAUUGUUUUUUAUAGAAAACGUUAUAGGCGUCAGUAGGACGUCUGGUCGACAUUUAUAUUUUUUGUACAUAGAUUUUAAUUAACUUUUGUCAAUAGUUACGUUUUAAUAGUUACAAAUGUGCACACUGUGUCUGGUAAUUUUUGAAUUUUCUUUCGAUACGUUAUUCACAGGAUGUAUGACCGACGUUUAGAUUUUCAUUUAAUAGAUUUUAAUUAAUUGUAGUCUUCAGUUAUGUUUUUAAAUUUUAUUAUAAUAGAUUUUAACAUGUUUGCUGCAGCUGUGUAAAGGAAAGCAAUAAAAAGAUACCCACAUUGUGGGCAUAUAUACUACCACGUCAUUAUGUGGUGCUGGAGGAGCUUCUGAUACGCACUCUGGAACUGGUUCAGUACGAGGCGCCAAUGGAGGUGGAGGCGGACGACACGGCGUGUCACUGACUGGAUUUUGAUGAGUACCUGGUUGAGCAAGCGACAGUUUUUCGUAAUGCACCGGCGGAGUCCGUUGGUUAAGACGAUGUCUAUUCGAUGGCGGUGUGUAGUAGUCGUCGUCUACGGUGAGGUCUAUGACCUUUCUUUCAUGCAGAAGACAUCGCUGCUGACGACGAAGCCCAUCGUCGUUAGUAGACGAACCUCCCGUUACAAGUUUUCGGACCAUUGCUGAAAAAACGUCUUGGAAAAGAGAUCGUGCUAUAGUUGAAGAAUAUGAGGAGAAGAAUAAGAGAAUGGAUAAUAUUAGAGAACGGUUAGGUUUUUUAUAAGCAUGACAGUGAACUUUGUGGACAAAAAGGUGCACUCUAUUUAAUCUUCUAAUACUCAAAAUUUGUAUCAACUGCACUAUACACCGUUUACAAAACUUUAUUGGUCUGUAGGAUGUUUGGUCGAUGUUUUAGUCUAUUGUUGUCAUAAGUUAUGUUUUCGUAGUUUUUAGUAUGUAACGUUUUAUGUUUUGUUAUAGGUUAGGGUUAUAAGUGUUAUAUGUAUUGUCAUCAGUUAGGUUUUAAUAGUUUUUUAUAGAAAACGUUUUAUGUGUCAGUAGGACGUUUGGUUGACGUUCAUAUUAACUUUUAUAAUUUUUUUCGUUACGUUCUUUGCAGAAUGUAUAACCGACGUUUAAAAUUUCAUUUAAUAGAUUUUAAUUAAUUGUUUUCAUCAGUUAUAUUUUUAAGUUUUUUUAUAAUAGAUUUUAGCAUGCUUGCUGCAGCUGUGUAAAGGAAAGCAAUGAAAAGAUACCCGCAUUGUUUGCAUACUACCACGUCGUUAUGUGGUGCCGGAGGAACUUCUGAUACGUACUAUGGAACUGGUUCAGUACGAGGCGACACUGGAGGUGGAGGCGGACGACGCGGCGUGUCACGGACUGGACCUCGAUGAGUACCUGGUUGAGAAAGCGACAAUUCUUCGUAAUGCACCGGCGGAGUCCCUUGGUUAAGACGAUGUGUAUUCGAUGACGUUGUAUAAUAGUCGUCGUCGUCCGCAGUGAGGUCUAUGACCUCUCUUUCACGCAGAAGGCGUCGCUGCUGACGACGAACCCCAUCGACGUUAGUAGACGAACCUCCCGUCAUAAGUUUUCGAACCAUUACUGGAAGAACGUCUUAAAGUGGAGAUCGUGCUCUAGUUGAAGAAUAAGAGGAGAAGAAUAAGGGAAUGGAUAAUAUUGGAGAACGGUUAGGUUUUUUAUAAGCAUGGCAGUGGAAUUUGUGGACAAAGAGAUGCACUCUAUUUAUUUUUCUAAUACCCAAAUUUUGUAUCAACUGCACUAUACAUCGUUUACAAAACUUUAUUGACCUGUUGGAUGUCUGAUCGACGUUUAGAUUUUCGUUAAGUAGAUUUUCGUUUAUUAUUGUCAUAAGGUAUGUUUUCGUAGUUUUUAGUAGGUAACGUUUUAUAUUUUGUUAUAAGUUAGGGUUAUAAGUGUUAUAAGUAUUGUCAUCAGUUAGGUUUUAAUAGUUUUUUAUAGAAAAUGUUUUAGGUGUCAGUAAGACGUCUGGUCGACGUUCAUAUUUUCUGUACAUAGAUUUUAGUUAACUUUUAUCAAUAGUUACGUUUUAAUAAUUACAAAUGUGCAUAGGUGUCUGGUAAUUUUUGGAUUUUCUUUCUUUAUGUUAUGACCGACGUUUAGAUUUUCAUUUAAUAGAUUUUAAUUAAUUGUAGUCUUCAGUUAUGUUUUUAAAUUUUAUUAUAAUAGAUUUUAACAUGUUUGCUGCAGCUGUGUAAAGGAAAGCAAUAAAAAGAUACCCACAUUGUGGGCAUAUAUACUACCACGUCAUUAUGUGGUGCCGGAGGAGCUUCUGGUAAGUACUCUGGAACUGGUUCAGUACGAGGCAGCACUGGAGGUGGAGGCGGACGACGCGGCGUGUCAAGGACUGAACCUUGAUGAGUACCUGGUUGAGCAAGCGACAGUUCUUCGUAAUGCACCGGCGGAGUCCGUUGGUUAAGACGAUGUCUAUUCGAUGGCGAUGUGUAGUAGUCGUCGUCGUCCACGGUGAGGUCUAUGACGUCUUUUUCACGCAGAAGGCAUCGCUGCUGACAACGAAGCCCAUCGUCGUUAGUAGACGAACCUCCCGUUACAAAUUUUCGGACCAUUGCUGAAAAAACGUCUUGGAGAGGAGAUCGUGCUCUAGUUGAAGAAUAAGGGAAUGAAUAAUAUUGGAUAACGGUUAAGUUUUUUAUAUGCAUGACAGUGGUCCUUGUGGAUAAAGAGUUAGGUGCACUCUAUUUAAUCUUCUAAUACCCAACGUUUAAAUAGUUGCACCAUGUUUUAAAUUAAAAAUCAAACAAAACUUGUUUACUACCAUGCAAAACUUGGGUUGAUCCGUGGUUAAUCGUAGAUCAUAUGCUGACCAUCUGGUGAUUUUAAAUUUUUAAUCAAUGUUAUAAACG